UUUCCCCGUUGUACGAGGGCAUCGCCUAUCGUGGGCCGCAUCGUGAUCUCGUGUUCCAGGAAAACAGAUUUCCCCCUUUCCCGCGAACCAGCUUUCCCUUCUCCCGCAAACUCUGUUCUCGCGCGCGAACGAAAUCAGAUCGAGCGCGCCUUCUUCUCCACGAUUUGCUCAUCCUCCACUUCUUCUCCACGACGCCCUCUCUCGAACCAGGAUGUGUUCGAUCCUCUCCUGGUGUAGCCUUUUUUUUCCGCUCUUGAGAGGACGGGGCGCCAAUCCACGCGGGUCGCUGCGCCGCCGCCGCCGCCGCCACGGGAGCCUCAGCAGGUCACCACCACCAAGCAAGCAGCCGCCGUUCCCCACUUCAGAGCGGCCUUUUCAUCGACUCAAGCUCCGCCGACGGACAAGCAGGAAUGGAACGCUGCGGCCGCUGCCUCCGAGUUCUUCUCCCCAACAUUAAAUUGGCCCUCAACGACACGACAUGUUGCAUCAAUCUGACUCUUCAUCUUCCGGUCGUAUCAAUCCGACUCUUCAUCUUCCACUGAUGAGGACGUUAACUUGAAUAAUUUUGACCUAGUCGAAGACAUCGACACUUGGCCGGUUUGAACAAUGAUAUUAAUGUGCUUAAUAAGUCACCUUUGUUCGUCCAAGAGUUGAAAGGGGAAGCGCCACGGGUACAAUUCACUGUCAAUGGAAGGCAAUAUAAUCGAGGUUAUUACCUUGCAGAUGGUACUUAUUUAGAAUGGGCUGUAUUCGUUAAGACUAUACCACUACCUCAAAUAGAGAUUGACAAAUUGUUUGCGCGACAUCAAGAAGGGCCAAGGAAAGAUGUUGAACGAGCAUUUGGAGUGUUGCAAUCCCGUUUUAACAUCGUGCGAUGUCCAGCAAAGUUAUGGAAGCGUGCUUCGGUCGGUAAAAUCAUGGAAGCUUACAUCAUUCUCCAUAAUAUGAUUAUCGAAGAUGAGGGGGAAAUGGUUCACAUCCCUUUAGACUUGAAUGAGAAUCCUGGAACAUAUUUUGCUUUACCGCCGGAGGUCAAUCGUGGUCCCAACAUUUGCUUUACAGAUGUGCUACAAAGGAAUUCCUCAAUUCGUGCACGGCCAACACAUCUGAAACUCAAGCAGGAUUUGGUCGAGCAUAUUUGGCAGAAAUUUGGGGAUGAGUGAAUAAUUACAACUAGUUUGAAUAAUUUUUUAUGUAUUACUUGUUUCCAUUGAUUGCUUUAUGUAAUAAUUUCAUACCGAUUUGAAUGAAUAACUACAACUAGUUUGAAUAAUUUUGUAUGUGUUAAUUCUUUCUAUUAAUGAUUCCCAUAUGUAAUAGUUCUGUACCAAUUCGAGUUUAUUUAUAUUUUUUA